CCUCUCUUGCAGUGGAGUUGCCAGAAGGCACCACAGCCAGCAGCACACAGGAGGAAGCAGUUCCCUCCACAUUAGAGCAUCAGAUAGCCAUCAUGAAAUAUGUUCCCAAAAAGAUGGGACUGAUUCAAAAGAAGGUGGAUAGCAAAUUAAUGGGUCUGUUCACAAAAGACUAUCAACCUUUCUCUAUUGUAAAUGAUUCGGGAUUUCAUAGUUUUGUACAUGCAUUGAAUCCUGAUUAUGAAAUCCCGAGUAGGACUGUAACAAACGUAAUGUUGCCAGCAGCAUAUGCAGAAGCAAAUGAGAAAGUACAACAAAAGCUGCAAGGCAUAAAGACAAUCUGUAUAACACCAGAUUGCUGGACAUCAACUUCUAACGAAAGUUGUAUGGCUGUGACUGGACACUUCAUAAAUGAACAAUUCAGAUUAUAGUCUCUACUGCUGGAAUACAAUCAUUUCAGUGGUUUCCAUACCAGCUCAAAUUUGUCCACAGCUUUGAUAAAAAUUACAGAAAAAUUUAGUCUUGGUGGCAAAAUUUUAAUGGUGGUCUCGGACAAUGCACCAAAUAUUAAAAAAAAAAUGGAGUUUCCACCAUUCUCAAGUGGAAACAUUUUGGUUGUUAUGCCCAUACUCUUGAUUUAGUUGUGCAGGAUGAACUUAAAAAUGUCCUGGAAGUUCACCAGAAAGUCAAGACAAUUGUAGGCUUUUUAAAAGGAGCAGCUGUGCAACGGAGUGGUUCUUAACAUGCCAACAGAACAGAGGAAAAGUAAACAUCAAGAAAUUGAUACAGGACUUGUCCACAAGGUGGAAUUCAACCCUGUUUAUGUUGGAAUGUAUUGUUGAAUUAUCAGAGGCAGUAAAAAUUACAGUUGCCCUUUGCAACAGGCCCACAGAACUUCCAUCACUGUCAAAUGAUGAGUGGGAGUACCCAACUGACAGCCUGGUUAUAGUCCUGACUCAUGGCCUUCUGGCAGUGUGUGAUGAAAUAGCCAAAUUGCGGUUACAUGAAGUUUCAAUGAAAGUUGUUGAUGGAUUGAAAGAGGGGCUUACAAACCAGUUUUCGAAUCUUGAGAAGAGCAAAUCCAUAGCCCUUGCUACUCUGCUGGAUCCACGAUUCAAAUUGCUGACAUUUCAGAACCAGACAGCAGCAGACAACACGAAGAAACAGUUAAUUAAUAUUGUUGCCAGAGACUGGAAAAAUGUAGGCCAGUAGGUAUUCAGCCUUCACAAAAACCUGCUGAGCCAAAUAAUUUGGCAACUGAGCCCUUCUCUCUGUGGGGCAUAUUUGAUAAGUUAGUGAAACAUGCACAGCCACAGGGUAGAGUACAGUUAUGUGCUAUUGUAGAGGUUCAAAGGUAUAUUGACAGCUCAGUCAUCAGUAGAAAAAUGAGGAUCCUCUGGCAUGAUGGAGGCAAAAUCAGUACAUAUACCCAACCAUUGCAAAAGAAGUGCAAGAGAGAUUCAAUAUUAUAUCAACUUCUGUGCCUUGUGAGAGGGUGUUCACUAAAACUGGACAUUUAAGAAAUGACAGAAGAACCCGCCUCAAGCCAUUGAACAGAAGCUGAAAAGAAUGGACCCGUGUGAGGUUUGCUACCAUGGAGGUAACUAGGCACUUCCAACACAACCAAAAAAGACCAAACAACUGUAUGAUGCCUAGCAAUAUUACAAUGUGUGUGUGUGUGUGUGUGUGUGUGUGUGUGUGUGUGUGUCCUGUAUGUAGAUGACAUUUUAUUCUUCUAGUGCAUAUGUUGUCAUGAGAAAAGAGAAAAAAAACACUGAACUCAUUUGUAUUUUGAUCACAGGCAGGUAACUGGGCACUUUCAACAUAAGCGAACAAGACCACACAACUGUAUGAUGCCUAGGAAAAUGUAAAAUAUGUAUUUUGGUGUUUCAUAAUUCAUGCUAAGAAUAAUUUUGCCGGAAUAAGUUAUUUAGGAAGUAUGGGAUAUAACUAGGAACAUGAAUGAAAUGAAACGUUUGGGCUUGGAUUCACUUUGUAAAUGUGCAAAGUUAAGUGUUAUAAUGUAUUCUACUAAGACAUGCUUUUUCAAUAUUGUUUAGACGGAUCAACAUAUAGUAUAACAGAGCAUAAUCCUUACACAGUAAAGGCUCACAAACAAGUCAUUUGUCAUACACUGUGGGCUUUUUAAAAUUUAAAUUUUUUAUCUUUUGUUGCAGAUACUUUUCAUUCAAUGCAAGUAUUUCACUUUGGCAUAAAUGUGAGUUACAUCUCUAGCGUUAAGAAAGGUAACACAGAUCACUGAUAUCACUUCCAAGACUGUGUUUUCCUUGUCAUACUAGUUUGUUUGUGAAAAACACACAUUUAGUUUUAUUGAUAUAUGCACAGUAAUGAACAAUUUAAUGAGGCAGAGACCACAUAUUUUUAUACAGAAUUUCAUCAUCCACUACUACAUUUAAAUCUUAUAGAUCAUUAAAUAUUUGUUCAUUCAAUUGUCCACAGAAAGGUGAUAGAGGAACAGGUCAUACUGGGAGCAGUAUCAGUCUGACUUUGAUGGAGCACAGUUACUGAUUUGAUACAAUUAAGGCACAAAAGCUUUGUAAUGAUUAAGAUGCUGAGUGCAUGUAAAUACUGGAAGUUUCAUUUCUUUAUACUAAAACUUGCUUCUUUAAGUUAUGUUUCAGAAAUAUCUUGAGCACCUCAACUUGAAAAAUAACAGGAAUACCAUCUAGAAUAUUACAAGUGAGGACAGUCAGUCAAUGAUAAUCCAUGACCUUAGGCUGAAGGAAAAUAAAUUCUAUAUAUGUAGUAAAAGUUGAUUAUAUUGUGUGAUGUUGUAGACAAAUAAUCUGUUUUGUGCUAUCUUUUACAUAAUGAACUUGGUGACAUGUGGAGCAAAACUGGAAUGAGCAAAGAAUACCAACCAAGUUUAAGACCCAAAAGCCAGAAAGAGCCGUGACCAGUGGUGGAACACAUGCAUGUUUGAAAAAUUUGUUCCAAAUGCACACUAACAGUGAUUUUUUUCUUUUUCUUUUUUUGUUGAUGCACACAGUUCAUAACGUCCUCCUGGGGUUUUGAGGAGCUGGUUUUCCUUCAGACUGUUGGCAAAUGCCAGGACAUAUGGGAAGUUUCCAGCUCAGAAAAUGCUGUAGAUAAAUACGAAAAGAAAACUGCUUCCUGUAACACAUAUCUUUCAUUAAAAAUAUCAUAAUAAUGCAAGUUGUGACUUUUCUAAAUAUUUGCAGUCUGCGUAACUUGUAAAACUGAAUUAAUUAUGUGGAAGAAACAGCUUGUCUACAUAACAAUGUAACUGUAUUUACACCAACAUUGUAUUAUUUAAUAUUUAAUGACA